rnacentral:tRNA from 1 species
AGAAUAUGAAGUAUCAAGAGAAAGCUGCUAACUUUUAUCUUUAGCGGUUCAAUUCCGUUUAUAUUCUU